UUAGCAUGCACUGCGCGGGCUCCCACCUGCCACCAGGGGGCGGCGUCCGGCUCCACCUGGACCAAACCUCAGGUAGGAAGGCCAGAUCAGGGAUGCUGAAGCUAGAGCAUCUGCCCCAAGGUGUGUGAGCCUGUUAAUCUCUUUAUAUACAGAAGUGAGACAGAGCACAGUGGGAAAGGAGCUUUCCGACGCCAGCUUGCAGGAGAGUUGGACAUCUUUGGCUCCCAUGCUGUGAACAUCUCUCCUCCAUUCACACACUGCUACAGCUAUGAUUUUCUGCCCAAGUGCAUGGAGCUGCUGAGACAUCUAGUUGAGGGACAGUGAAGCUGUGGGUAGAAAAAUCUAACUGGGCCAGACGAUGAAAGAGUG